rnacentral:misc_RNA from 1 species
UUUCUGUAGGUGAACCUGCGGAAGGAUCAUUAUUGUAUAACCGAGGUGCGAGGGCUGUCGCUGACCCGAAAGGUCAUGCACGCCCGAGUGCCCUCACACACAUCCAUCUCACCCCUAUGUGCACCACCGCGUGGGUCCCCCUUUGGCUUGUUCGGAGGGGGGCUUACGUUUUCACACAAACUUUGUAUGCAGUGUAGAAUGUAUUUUUUGUUUUUGCGAUCACGCAAUCAAUACAACUUUCAACAACGGAUCUCUUGGCUCUC